rnacentral:lncRNA from 1 species
CUCAGGUCCUGGGAUGGAGCCCCACAUCUGGCUCUCUGUUCAGUGAAGAGUCUGCUUCUCCCCUGCUUGUGCUCUCUCACUCUUUCUCUCUCUCUGUGCCAAAUAAAUAAAUAAAAUCUUUAAAAAAAUGAUAAGAUACUAAGAAAUCAUCGAUCUUCAUUAUUUCAAGGGGCACCAUUUCAAAAACAUCAGUAGGGAUGGGUAAAUUGAAGAUUUUUUUACUAUAAUCUGAAUUUACCUGCAUAAUUCCUCAUGUGGAUAUGAUAGUUCAUAUUUUUAUUUGAAUUUAAACAUAAAUGUUGCUUCAAACAAGAGAGUAAUAGCCAGAGGUGCAAAAUAAUAGCCAGAAGGGGAAAAAGUGAAAAAGACUAGUAUGUCUUUUUAUGACUAGGAUUUCAUGACUUUAUUACAUAAAAAAAGCAAUGCUAAAAAAACAAUAUGAUUAAGAUAGCAAAACAGAUUAAUGAAAAGUUUAUGACUACAUAAAGAUAUUUCUAGUAAAUUUGUGAUAGCAUGUUUUACUUUAAAAAUUUAUAUUUAAGGAAUGAUUUAUACUUCCCUGUUUUAACUGACAUUUAUUUUUUUCUACUCAAAUAUACUAAGUGGAUUUAUGCUAAAAUUACUAAUAGUGUAUAAAAGCAAAUUAAUAACAAGUUAAUAGCACAAACAAUGGAUAACUCUUGAGAUUCUACUAUGUAUUAGAAAUUUCACUCUCAUUGUAUAUGCAUGUUCUAAUUUAAUCUUCAUUAGACUCCUUGAAAAAAACAAUGUAUUGGUUACAUGUUUGGACUCUAGACUCAGAUUGUUUAUGAUUGUUUUACUGUUCUGUUUUUUACAACUGGGAUAUUUAUUUUUAUAACUAAAUGCACUAUUUAUAUUUUAUCUUUCAUCUUCAGAAUUCUCUAUAAAUGGGGGAAAAUUGUGCAAAGCCCUUAAGUUAUUGUAAGAAUGAAGUAGCUAAUGCAGAGAUAAUUUGACAUACAAAUAAUAUUAGCUAUUAUUACGGUCCCCACCCAUUCAAAAAAGCAGACUCUAAGAUUAAGAAAGGUAAAUUCCUUUCUCCAAAAGUGUAUAACAGGUUAUACCUUUCAUAUUCAGAUUCCAGGUCUAUGGACUUUAAAAAGCAAGCUCUUCAUUAUAAUUAAUUGUCCCAUUUAGACAAUCCUGACCUUGAAUAGUUAAUUUCUAUUUUAUACAUUUUCAUAGGAGUUCAUUUGGAACUUAACAAUCCAUGGGUAUCAAUAAAGGAUGGCUACCAAAAAAUGUCCUCCCUGGGCACCUGGGUGGCUCAGUGGUUGAGUAUGUAUGCCUUUGGCUCAGGUUGUGAUCCCAGGGUCCUGGGAACAAGUCCUGUAUCAGGCCACCCGCAGGGAGCCUGCUUUUCCCUCUGUGACAGUGUUCAAGUUCAGGGGCAUGUGUCUGCCUUUCUCUGUGUCUCUCAUGAAUAAAUGAAUAAAAUCUUAAAAAAAAAACUUCUCGCUGCUUCCUAAAAAGUUAGAAUGACUUUAUAACAGAAAUGAAUAUAUGUAAUAUUUGUAUUUUCAGUGUGUUCAUAUAUCACUCCAUAUACACAAAUAAAUGCAUAUUAUGAAUAACAUAAUCUUUCUAAUAACCCAUAGCCUCAUGAUCAACAUUCAGCUUCUAAAAACUGAGACCCAUGUACCAAUUUAUUGCAAAGCAAUAUGUGUUUCUAGAAUAAGUUUGGAACAAAUUGUGAAUUAUCUAAAUGCUGACUUGAGAAAAUGGAUAUAGGGAUGCCCGGUGCCUGGGUGAUUCAGCAGUUGAGCUUCUGCUUUCGGCUCAGGGCCUGAUCCCAGGGUCCGGGAUCGGGUCCCACAUCGGGUUCCUUGUGGGGAGCCUGCUUCUCCUUCUGCCUGUGUCUCUGCCUCUCUCUGUGUCUCUCGUGAAUAAAUAAAUAAAAUCUUUAAAACAAAGAAUGGAUAUAUUUAACAAAAUGGUGAACAUAAAAUGAAAAUAUCUGUUCUGAUCCUUAAAAGAAAUAUUCUUCUGAUUUCUGAGCUAGUAUACAGAUUUUCUGCAGUUUAGAUAAAAAUGAUUUAGAGGACAAAUAUUAUUCAAUAUUUUCAAUUUGAUUGCAUCUGAACUCUAUGAGUUACUCAUUACUAUAUUUAUUAGUGAUAAUAUAUUGAUUAUACAUGCAUAACUUAAAUUUAUACAUAUAUGAUACAUAUUCAUAUGUAAAUGUAAUUCAUACUUAUUUAAUAAUUGUUUACUUCACAUGAAUUCUGUACGCUGGAUUGAAGAUAUUGUGAAUAACUAAUUUAUUAUAAAGUAGAGCCAAUGGAGAGGCUCCUGGGUCCCUCAGUGGAUUAUGCAUCUAUCUUCGUCACAGGUCAUGAUCCCUGGGUUCUGGGAUAGAGCCCUGGGUCAGGUUUCCUGCUUGUCAGGAAGUCUGCUCCUACUUUUUCCUCUACCACUGGCUCAUGCACUCACUCAUACUAUCUCAUAGAUAAAUAAAAUAUUUAAGAAAAAUAAAACAUAAAAUAGAGCCAAUAGCAUAAUAAUGAUUACAAUUUUUGUAUUUCAUUAAUUUUCAAUUUACAAGUUUUGAAUGUGUCACUUUUUUUAAACUGUAUUUAUCUAUUCUAAGAAUGAUUUUUUGCAAUAGAUUUUAUGAUAUGGCUCUUGUUUACCUUGAUAUAUAUAUAAUUUUGUUUUCAAUCCAAAUAAUAAAUAUAUUUGAUUUUGAAAGCCUUGAAAUCUUGUUAUUUUAUUUAAUGUUUGGUGUUAUAAACAGAAGAAAAAUAAUAAUGAGUUAUAUUAUCUGCUCAGGAGAACUAUAUGGAGUAAUAUACAUAAUUAAAAUGCAAUUUUAUAAAAAAUGUGCAAAUAUUCAAAGUUUGCUAUUAUUUUUACAUGGGUUAAGGGUAAAUUAGUCCUAUCAAAGAAUUCCUCUGAAAAUAAACAUUUCGAGAUGGUAUGCCUUAGAGUUCUAUUUAAAUUACUAAAAAGAGUAAACACAAACAAUUUCUUUCAAAUAUUAACUAAAUAAUGCAACAUGUAGCUUUAGUAGUAAAAAAGCAGAA